UACGGAGGAUGCGAGCGUUAUCCGGAUUUAUUGGGUUUAAAGGGUGCGUAGGCGGGCUUUUAAGUCAGCGGUAAAAAUUCGGGGCUCAACCCCGUCCGGCCGUUGAAACUGGGGGUCUUGAGUGGGCGAGAAGAAGGCGGAAUGCGUGGUGUAGCGGUGAAAUGCAUAGAUAUCACGCAGAACCCCGAUUGCGAAGGCAGCCUUCCGGCGCCCUACUGACGCUGAGGCACGAAAGCGUGGGGAGCGAACAGG
rnacentral:rRNA from 1 species